AUGGUUGAUCGAGCUGUCAUUUUGUUUUCAAAUUUUGUUUUCAUCCGCGCGCGUGUUCGAUCUUGUUCGUUUCGUUUGUGUUUGGCGUAGUUCAAAUCGAAAAUUGUUAAGUCGACUCGCGUGUGCUCGUGGAGAAACAACAUCCGGCGUUCGUGCAGCAUGGUUCUGUUGGACUAAUCCGCCGGGUGACCGAACCGGAACGGCGGGAUGACAGAAUUUUCGGAUAUUUGAGGAUUCUCCCACCAGGUUCGCUGACGGGACACAACCCAACGAAAGCGUUCGAAUGGGAGAGGACCCGAAGCCUGCUGCGGAAACUUCCGGCCGUGUUUGUUUCUGAUGGUGAGCUCGUCUCGGCUGGAGGCGAAAAUCGUUAGGGGCUUAUUUCACUAAGGAUUGUGCUUUU